rnacentral:rRNA from 1 species
GACGUAGGUCGCGAACGUUAUCCGGAAUUAUUGGGCGUAAAGGGUGCGUAGAUGGUAUAAUAAGUUAUCAGCGGUAAAUCGGGGCUCAACCUCGUGGAAGUCGGUAAUACUGUUAUACUCGAGUGCAGAAGAGGUUAACGGAACUCCAUGUGGAGCGGUAAAAUGCGUAGAUAUAUGGAAGAACAUCAAUAAUGGCGAAGGCAGUUAACUAUUCUGUUACUGACAUUGAGGCACGAAAGCGUGGGGAGCAAAAAGG